rnacentral:misc_RNA from 1 species
GUGCCCGUCCACCGAACGGUCGGCGGGCGAUCCGCGUCGGUCGCGCUGGGUGGUAUGGUUCCCCAGAGGCCGGUUCUUGUGCUGCCUACCCCUUCAGGGGAAGAGUUCCAAACUMGAUGUAAGCCUCCAUCCGGCGCCCUCCAAAGGGCGCGGGAGGACAACGGAGCACCCCCCGCGUUCCACCGAGCCUCCUCGGUCGCGUGGCCCGCGGGGACGUGCGAUGCUCUCGGACCCAGCGAACGCCGUGGGCGAGGACUCACGUCCCGGUCCCAAGUGAAGCAACGGUAUAACGCACGACGGCCGCUCCCGCCCCCCGACCGCCCCGGCGGCGCGGGGGCGAAGGCGCGGCGUCGCUGAGGAAUGCU